GCUCAGCUAGUUCAGUUGGUAGAUCAUGAGACUCUUAAUCUCAGGGUCGUGGGUUUGUGCCUCAUUUUGGGCA
rnacentral:tRNA from 1 species